UUUCUCUUCAGACUGAAUAAAUCUUUUGCCUUUUACUAAAGAUUUCCAUGGAGUGGAA
rnacentral:snRNA from 1 species